rnacentral:rRNA from 1 species
UACGUAGGUGGCAAGCGUUGUCCGGAAUCACUGGGCGUAAAGCGCGCGCAGGCGGCGAUCUACGUCUGGGGUGAAAGCCCGGAGCUCAACUCCGGGACUGCCUUGGAUACGGGAUCGCUUGAGGAUUGGAGAGGCAAGGGGAAUUCCGCGUGUAGCAGUGAAAUGCGUAGAGAUCCGGAGGAACACCAGUGGCGAAGGCGACACGCUGGGCCGUACCUGACACUGAUACGCGACAGCAUGGGGAGCGAACGGG